UUCCAAAUGUGAAUGUACAUAUACACACACAUUCAUGAGUUACAGCAGAUUUCAAGUUCCCAGCAUGCUUUCCUCCUGACUGUUAAAGGAGAGUAACAAUUUAAAUUAAGUGCUAUUUCAUGUGUUUUUGCUCAGUAUUAUAACAGGGGGAGAUCUCUUAGUGCAUAAUGUUGUAUUAUUUUGACAUUUAAAAAGGGUUUUUGGUAUGUGUAAGAUUGUGGGUUUGCAUUGUGCCUGUGGUUAGGUUGAUGAUUGGCCAAGCACCAUUAAAACUAUAUGCUGCUUUAUUUAAAAAGUAAUAUUUGUGUGCUUUCAAGCACAGUGAUAGUUCACUAAAGCUUUCAAGCACAGUGAUAGUUCACAAAGUGCUUUAAUAUGAAAUAUAUAUCAAAUUAAUAAUAAUAUAUCAAAUAUAUUUCUUUGCCACACACCGCAAGAAAAAUAAAUUUUUUGGGAGAGCAAACAACAGCAAAACCUCCACACAAAAGCAAAAACUGAUUAAUUUUGAAUAGUAUUUAAAUAGUAAUUUUAUAAUAAUAUAAAUAGUCAAAGUCAAAAAUAGUUAUAUAUUAAAUUAUUGUUAUGAUAAUGAUAUGACAGUGAGUGAGGUGAAUGAAAAGAGACACAAAUGGCUGAAGUUAUUUACUCAGACACUGAAGUUAUUUACUCAAUCUAUACCUACAACUACAGUAAAACAGAGUAAACGGAGAUGGGUUCAAUUUUCACCGCAUUGCCGAUGCAACUCAAAUCACAUGUGUUCAUGAAUUUUGAGUUGUUAGCUGAAGGUAUUUUAUAAUACCAUAAUUGAUGGUAACAACAUUUCUGACAAAGAUGUUGGAAGAUAAGGACAAUGUGCUUGAGUGACCAGCUGGUGGCGCUCCAACAUAAACAAUGAGUGACGUAUUAAAAACAACCUACACAACUAUAAAUGAAUUUGCUUGCUUUAUUCAGACACUAGAGGAUGUUACAUGAACUAAAUUAUGCUAAAACUUCAAGACUGCAUUUUUGAUGUCAUAAAUGUAGAUGUAGACUAAUUAAGGAUAGUGUCGAGAUGUAAAAAAGAGUGAAAUGGUUUUAUGUAAAAUUGAAUCAAGAAGUUUUAGAGCAAAUUUCCCAACAAGAACUAUCAUGCCAACCAAGCAAUAAAAUGAAAAGUCCAUCAGCCAACUUUGCUGAUGCAAAUCAUUAUGUAACUGAAUAAUGUGUUUGGCAGACAACUUUUUCCAAAGUUACUCUAAGUUUACAAAUCACGCCAUGCAUUUUGUGAAAUUAAAUGACAUUGUUGACUGACCCUUUUGAGACUGACUGACUGUGUUGGCCAGUGUGUGGGAAUUCCCAGAUGUUAAAACUGAUUGUUUUUGGAGUGUGAGGCCUGAAUCAUCCCAGCACAUGGAAAUUCCAGAUGCCUACACAUGCAGCUAAAGCUUGCAAACCAGAGAGAGUGUGUGUAUAGUGUUACGACUCACACUUUCACUUGGAAACUUUGGUAAAAUCAUUUUUUAAUUUACAAUACUUAAUGACACAAGUUUGAAUGCACAAGUACAUCAGAUACAACAGCAUUAAACUACAUAGGAUGUGCAAGAUGGGAAUAUAUAUAUAUAUAUAUGUAUAUAAACCUUAAACAAUAAAACA
rnacentral:lncRNA from 1 species